rnacentral:rRNA from 1 species
AUCUAUGACCAUACCACCCUGAAUGCACCCGAUCUCAUCUGGUUUUGGAAGCUCAGCAGGGUUGGGCCUGGGUAGUACUUGAAUGGGGAGAACAGCAAAGGAGGCCACUCUGAGGUU